AGGAUUCUCCUAGUAACGGCGAGUGAACGGAGAUUAGCCCAUCACCGAAGUCUAUUCGCAUUUGUGAACAGGACAAUGUGGUGUUAAGGCAUGCGCCUAGGACCGUUCGUCUGCUCCAAGUCCAACUCCGAUUGCGGCUUUGGAUAGUGUCCAAUGCGGGUGAAAGACCCGUUCGGGCAGACUUAUUUUGUCUUUCAACGGUCCUAGAUGCGUGUGCUGUCGAGUCGGAUUGCUUGAGAAUGCAGUCCAAAGUGGGUGGUAAACUCCAUCCAAGGCUAAAUACUGGCGCAAGUCCGAUAGUAGACAAGUACCGUGAGGGAAAGUUGAAAAGUACUCUGAAGAGAGAGUAAAUAGUACGUGAAACCGUUUGCAGGGAAUCAGAUGGAGUCAAGCCUUGUGCAUGCAAGAUUGUUUUCCGCCCCUUAUUGUGUCAGGAUACGAGGCCGUGGCAACUUGGAAUAAGUUGGGCGCAUUCACGUGCGCCUCAAGUCGUUCCGGGUAGCUCGAUUGUCCAUACCUCUAUCUCCUAGGGUGGGAACCGAAUUUUGCAAGCACACAUCAUGGUCGAUAAUGCUACAAUUGUGACGGUCCAACAGUGCUUGAGCUAACAUUCGUUGGCUCGGUGCUGGAUGGAAGGUGGUAUAAAUGGCCCUCGUUGGUUGUUUAUGCUUAUUUCAUUUUCGAAUGUCCGACCGUCACGACUACUGUGCCUCUGCAUUAUCGCUUGGUGGACCUGUGGUUGGCGGCCUUUAUAUGGUCUCUGGCCUAUCCAUGCCAUGAUUCUGAGGUAGAUGUUCCAUCUGACCCGUCUUGAAACAC
rnacentral:rRNA from 1 species